rnacentral:rRNA from 1 species
UACGUAGGGGGCAAGCGUUGUCCGGAUUUAUUGGGCGUAAAGAGCUCGUAGGCGGCUUGGCAAGUCGGGUGUGAAAACUCCAGGCUCAACCUGGAGAUGCCACUCGAGACUGCUAUGGCUAGAGUCCGGUAGGGGACCACGGAAUUCCUGGUGUAGCGGUGAAAUGCGCAGAUAUCAGGAAGAACACCCGUGGCGAAGGCGGUCCUCUGGGACGGUACUGACGCUGAGACGCGAAAGCGUGGGGAGCGAACAGG